GACGAACGCUGGCGGCAUGCCUAAUACAUGCAAGUCGAGCGGACUUGAUGAGAAGCUUGCUUCUCAGAUAGUUAGCGGCGGACGGGUGAGUAACACGUAGGCAACCUGCCCUCAAGCUUGGGACAACUACCGGAAACGGUAGCUAAUACCGAAUACUUGUUUUCUUCGCCUGAAGGAAACUGGAAAGACGGAGCAAUCUGUCACUUGGGGAUGGGCCUGCGGCGCAUUAGCUAGUUGGUGAGGUAACGGCUCACCAAGGCGACGAUGCGUAGCCGACCUGAGAGGGUGAUCGGCCACACUGGGACUGAGACACGGCCCAGACUCCUACGGGAGGCAGCAGUAGGGAAUCUUCCGCAAUGGGCGAAAGCCUGACGGAGCAAUGCCGCGUGAGUGAUGAAGGUUUUCGGAUCGUAAAGCUCUGUUGCCAGGGAAGAACGCUUGGGAGAGUAACUGCUCCCAAGGUGACGGUACCUGAGAAGAAAGCCCCGGCUAACUACGUGCCAGCCGCCGCGGUAA
rnacentral:rRNA from 1 species